rfam:Bacillus weihaiensis strain Alg07 chromosome, complete genome.
UGGGUAGUAUCUUUAUGAACUACACCACAGAAGGAGUUAUUUUAUUACAUUUGUUAACACACUAGGUUCGUCUAUGUGUGUUAUAACUUAACUUUAUGAUCUGCCUUGAUCCAAGAAGGACUAGGACAGAGGG